CAUAUACUCCCUCCGUCCAAAAAUACUUGUCAUCAAAAUAACAAAAAUGGAUGUAUCUAAAACUAAAAUACAUCUAAAUACAUUCUUUUUUAUUCAUUUUGAUGACAAGUAUUUUCGAACGGAGGGAAUAUAUA
rnacentral:pre_miRNA from 1 species